UGUUUCAGGGCACCUUGAGGUGUUUUGGGGCGUCCGUGCGCUAGCCUGAGGUGUUUUGGGGUGUGUGGGCGCUAGCCUGAGGUGUUUUGGGGCGUGCGUGCGCUAGCCUUCGGCUCGGUGGGCGUGCGCGGGCUCCGUUGUUUGUCUGAGAGGUUUGGAGAUCAGACCCUCUGUCUCUCCUGUCUCUGCUGUACUUCGUCUGGGAUUGGGAAAUUACUGUUUAUCUCUGCCGCUGCGGAGUCUCUCUCACUCUUAGUUUUUUUUGUUUCAGUCAAAUUGCCUAUUUCCUCUCCCAUGUCUGUCACAAAGGAAAGAAGGAAUUGGAGCCAAAACAUAGAGACUGCAUGAUUUGUUUCUUGUUGCUAUCAAAGUUGUUCUUGUGAUAACCCAAUGGGGGUUUUAGAGCGUUGACAGCUAGUCAUUAGCUCUCUGUUUCUCCUCAAAGCUUACGCUUCCUAUUGCUCACUCCACCUCCCCUUGUUCUUGUCUCUCUCUCUCUCUCUCUCUCUCUCUCUCUCUCUCUCUCUCUCUCUCUCUCUCUCUCUCUCUCUCUCUCUCUCUCUCUCUCUCUCUCUCUCUCUCUCUCUCUCUCUCUCUCUCUCUCUCUCUCUCUCUCUCUCUCUCUCUCUCUCUCUCUCUCUCUCUCUCUCUCUCUCUCUCUCUCUCUCUCUCUCUCUCUCUCUCUCUCUCUCUCUCUCUCUCUCUCUCUCUCUGUCUCUGUC